GAUGAACGCUGGCGGCGUGCCUAAUACAUGCAAGUCGAGCGAACGGACGAGAAGCUUGCUUCUCUGAUGUUAGCGGCGGACGGGUGAGUAACACGUGGAUAACCUACCUAUAAGACUGGGAUAACUUCGGGAAACCGGAGCUAAUACCGGAUAAUAUUUUGAACCGCAUGGUUCAAAAGUGAAAGACGGUCUUGCUGUCACUUAUAGAUGGAUCCGCGCUGCAUUAGCUAAUUGGUAAGGUAACGGCUUACCAAGGCAACGAUGCAUAGCCGACCUGAGAGGGUGAUCGGCCACACUGGAACUGAGACACGGUCCAGACUCCUACGGGAGGCAGCAGUAGGGAAUCUUCCGCAAUGGGCGAAAGCCUGACGGAGCAACGCCGCGUGAGUGAUGAAGGUCUUCGGAUCGUAAAACUCUGUUAUUAGGGAAGAACAUAUGUGUAAGUAACUGUGCACAUCUUGACGGUACCUAAUCAGAAAGCCACGGCUAACUACGUGCCAGCAGCCGCGGUAAUACGUAGGUGGCAAGCGUUAUCCGGAAUUAUUGGGCGUAAAGCGCGCGUAGGCGGUUUUUUAAGUCUGAUGUGAAAGCCCACGGCUCAACCGUGGAGGGUCAUUGGAAACUGGAAAACUUGAGUGCAGAAGAGGAAAGUGGAAUUCCAUGUGUAGCGGUGAAAUGCGCAGAGAUAUGGAGGAACACCAGUGGCGAAGGCGACUUUCUGGUCUGUAACUGACGCUGAUGUGCGAAAGCGUGGGGAUCAAACAGGAUUAGAUACCCUGGUAGUCCACGCCGUAAACGAUGAGUGCUAAGUGUUAGGGGGUUUCCGCCCCUUAGUGCUGCAGCUAACGCAUUAAGCACUCCGCCUGGGGAGUACGACCGCAAGGUUGAAACUCAAAGGAAUUGACGGGGACCCGCACAAGCGGUGGAGCAUGUGGUUUAAUUCGAAGCAACGCGAAGAACCUUACCAAAUCUUGACAUCCUUUGACAACUCUAGAGAUAGAGCCUUCCCCUUCGGGGGACAAAGUGACAGGUGGUGCAUGGUUGUCGUCAGCUCGUGUCGUGAGAUGUUGGGUUAAGUCCCGCAACGAGCGCAACCCUUAAGCUUAGUUGCCAUCAUUAAGUUGGGCACUCUAAGUUGACUGCCGGUGACAAACCGGAGGAAGGUGGGGAUGACGUCAAAUCAUCAUGCCCCUUAUGAUUUGGGCUACACACGUGCUACAAUGGACAAUACAAAGGGCAGCGAAACCGCGAGGUCAAGCAAAUCCCAUAAAGUUGUUCUCAGUUCGGAUUGUAGUCUGCAACUCGACUACAUGAAGCUGGAAUCGCUAGUAAUCGUAGAUCAGCAUGCUACGGUGAAUACGUUCCCGGGUCU
rnacentral:rRNA from 1 species